rnacentral:tRNA from 1 species
AAUUAAGAAACAAUUAAUUGUAUUCAACUUCGGAUUGAAAUUUAGAUUUAUAAAUCCUUAAUUG